rnacentral:lncRNA from 14 species
AGUAAUUGUUGAAAAGGGAGCACAGGUUUCCUUUGGCAGUGAGAUGCACUGUGAGCCUAGGCAGUCUUGAGAAGCGUCCCUGCUGGUUCUCCAUUCUGCAUCCGUGCAGCCACGUUCUAUUGAUGGCCUGUUGUGAUUUCAAUGGAACAUCAUGGGAUGUACCUGGCACGUCGGGCAGCACUGGAUGGAGGUGCCUUUAG